rnacentral:rRNA from 1 species
GCAUGCAAGUCGAGCGAAGCUUUUCAGUAGUUUACUACAGAAAAUGACUGAGCGGCGCCCUGGUGAGUAACGCGUGAGCAAUCUACCUUAGUUACAGGGAUAGCCCGAGGAAACUCGGAUUAGUACCUGAUAUUCUUUAUUUCUCGCAUGAGAAUAAAAGGAAAGGUCAGCCGAACUAAGAUGAGCUCGCGUUCUAUCAGCUAGUUGGUGAGGUAAAAGCUUACCAAGGCUACGACGGAUAGCUGGUCUGAGAGGACGAUCAGCCACACUGGGACUGAGACACGGCCCAGACUCCUACGGGAGGCUGCAGCAGGGAAUAUUGUGCAAUGAACGAAAGUUUGACACAGCGACACCGCGUGUGGGAUGACGGAUCUAGGUUUGUAAACCACUUUCAGGAGGGAAGAAAAUGACGGCACCUCCACAAGAAGCCCCGGCCAACUACGUGCCAGCAGCCGCGGUAAUACGUAGGGGGCGAGCGUUGUCCGGAUUUAUUGGGCGUAAAGAGCUCGUAGGCGGUUCAACAAGUCGGUCGUGAAAGUUCAGGGCUCAACCCUGAAAUGUCGAUCGAUACUGUUGUGACUAGGAUACGGUAGAGGUGAGUGGAAUUCCGAGUGUAGCGGUGAAAUGCGUAGAUAUUCGGAGGAACACCAAUUGCGAAGGCAGCUCACUGGACCGCUAUCGACGCUGAGGAGCGAAAGCUAGGGGAGCAAACAGGAUUAGAUACCCUGGUAGUCCUAGCUGUAAACGAUGGAUACUAGACGUAGGAACUGGAUUGACGGUUUCUGUGUCGUAGCCAACGCGUUAAGUAUCCCGCCUGGGGAGUACGGUCGCAAGACUAAAACUCAAAGGAAUUGACGGGACCCCGCACAAGCGGCGGAGCAUGCGG